rnacentral:rRNA from 1 species
GACGAACGCUGGCGGCGUGCUUAACACAUGCAAGUCGAACGGAAAGGCCCUGCUUUUGUGGGGUGCUCGAGUGGCGAACGGGUGAGUAACACGUGAGUAACCUGCCCUUGACUUUGGGAUAACUUCAGGAAACUGGGGCUAAUACCGGAUAGGAGCUCCUGCUGCAUGGUGGGGGUUGGAAAGUUUCGGCGGUUGGGGAUGGACUCGCGGCUUAUCAGCUUGUUGGUGGGGUAGUGGCUUACCAAGGCAUUGACGGGUAGCCGGCCUGAGAGGGUGACCGGCCACCAUGGGCCUGAGAUACGGCCCAGACUCCUACGUGAGGCAGCAGUGGGGAAUAUGGCACAAUGGGCGGAAGCCUGAUGCAGCAGCGCCGCGUGCGUGAUGACGGCCUUCGGGUUGUAAACCGCUUUCGCCUGUGACGAAGCGUGAGUGACGGUAAUGGGUAAAGAAGCACCGGCUAACUACGUG